rnacentral:rRNA from 1 species
AGUGAACGCUGGCGGUAGGCCUAACACAUGCAAGUCGAACGGCAGCACAGUAAGAGCUUGCUCUUACGGGUGGCGAGUGGCGGACGGGUGAGGAAUACAUCGGAAUCUACUUUUUCGUGGGGGAUAACGUAGGGAAACUUACGCUAAUACCGCAUACGACCUACGGGUGAAAGCAGGGGAUCUUCGGACCUUGCGCGAUUGAAUGAGCCGAUGUCGGAUUAGCUAGUUGGCGGGGUAAAGGCCCACCAAGGCGACGAUCCGUAGCUGGUCUGAGAGGAUGAUCAGCCACACUGGAACUGAGACACGGUCCAGACUCCUACGGGAGGCAGCAGUGGGGAAUAUUGGACAAUGGGCGCAAGCCUGAUCCAGCCAUACCGCGUGGGUGAAGAAGGCCUUCGGGUUGUAAAGCCCUUUUGUUGGGAAAGUAAAGCAGCAGGUUAAUACCCCGCUGUUCUGACGGUACCCAAAGAAUGAGCACCGGCUAACUUCGUG